rnacentral:rRNA from 1 species
CUGCUAAGACUGGAUAGGAGAUAAGAAGGCAUCUUUUUAUUUUUAAAAGACCUAGCAAUAGGUAUGCUUAGGGAAGAGCUUGCGUCACAUUAGUUAGUUGGUGGGGUAAUGGCCUACCAAGACGAUGAUGUGUAGCCGGGCUGAGAGGUCGAACGGCCACAUUGGGACUGAGACACGGCCCAAACUCCUACGGGAGGCAGCAGUAAGGAAUUUUCGGCAAUGGAGGAAACUCUGACCGAGCAAUGCCGCGUGAACGAUGAAGUAUUUCGGUACGUAAAGUUCUUUUAUUAGGGAAGAAAAGAUGGUGGAAAAACCAUUAUGACGGUACCUAAUGAAUAAGCCCCGGCUAACUAUGUGCCAGCAGCCGCGGUAAUACAUAAGGGGCAAGCGUUAUCCGGAAUUAUUGGGCGUAAAGGGUGCGUAGGCGGUUAAAUAAGUUUAUGGUCUAAGUGCAACGCUCAACGUUGUGAUGCUAUAAAAACUGUUUAGCUAGAGUUGGAUAGAGGCAAGUGGAAUUCCGUGUGUAGUGGUAAAAUGCGUAAAUAUACGGAGGAACACCAGAAGCGAAGGCGGCUUGCUGGGUCUUAACUGACGCUGAGGCACGAAAGCGUGGGGAGCAAACAGGAUUAGAUACCCUGGUAGUCCACGCCCUAAACGAUGAGUACUAAACGUUGGAUAAAACCAGUGUUGAAGUUAACACAUUAAGUACUCCGCCUGAGUAGUACGUACGCAAGUAUGAAACUUAAAGGAAUUGACGGGACUCCGCACAAGCGGUGGAUCAUGUUGUUUAAUUCGAAGGUACCCGAAAAACCUCACCAGGUCUUGACAUGCUUUUGCAAAGCUGUAGAAAUACAGUGGAGGUUAUCAGAAGCACAGGUGGUGCAUGGUUGUCGUCAGCUCGUGUCGUGAGAUGUUGGGUUAAGUCCCGCAACGAGCGCAACCCUUGUUGUUAAUUGCCAUCAUUAAGUUGGGGACUUUAGCAAGACUGCCAAUGAUAAAUUGGAGGAAGGUGGGGACGACGUCAAAUCAUCAUGCCCCUUAUGACCUGGGCUACAAACGUGAUACAAUGGCUGUUACAAAGGGUAGCUAAAGCGUAAGCUUCUGGCGAAUCUCAAAAAAGCAGUCUCAGUUCGGAUUGAAGUCUGCAACUCGACUUCAUGAAGUUGGAAUCGCUAGUAAUCGCGAAUCAGCAUGUCGCGGUGAAUACGUUCUCGGGG